AGCCCGUUCUGUGUGUUUUAUAACUGUGGAAGGUUGGUUAAGAGGAAUAAUGUUAGACUCACCUCAUAGAUGGGUCACGUGGCCAAUUGGAAAAGCUCGCCAGACGGUAUUCUGAAGAAUUAAGAACUUAUUAUCAAGAUGUGAUGGAACGUCUGGAGGAACUGAGACGUCGGCGUAUCGCUAUUGACAAACCUCCACUCACGAUGAAUAACGUUGGGUUAAAUUUUCCUACGUCACAGCUGUGUUUUCGUCCCGGAAAGUACUCGCCGUCCAGUUGCCUGAGUGAUCUAGAAUAUGAAAAUAUUUAUGGAAUGUAUGAAACAGCCGAAUACAAAAGCACCAUAGCAAUGUCACCAGAAAGGUAGGCUUAACCGAUGUCUCAACAAAUUAAAAUUAUAACUGAGCACGUAAUCAUAGUGACAGAGCAUUAAAAAGCAACAUUGUUCAUUUUCUUCUGGACUACUUUCUUUUGGUGUUAAUGUAUGCGCACAGUACAGGAAGUGACUUAAAUUCACAGAAUCUGAAGUGUAAUAUUUAU